rnacentral:miRNA from 1 species
AGAGUCGGGCCGUCAUCCCUC